rnacentral:rRNA from 1 species
GCAACGAGCGCAACCCUCGCUGCCAGUUGCCAACGGGUAGAGCCGGGCACUCUGGCGGGACUGCCAUCGACAAGAUGGAGGAAGGUGGGGAUGACGUCAAGUCAUCAUGGCCCUUAUGUCCAGGGCGACACACGUGCUACAAUGGCCGGCACAGCGGGAAGCGAGGCAGUGAUGCCAAGCGGAUCCCUUAAAGCCGGUCUCAGUUCGGAUUGAAGUCUGCAACUCGACUUCAUGAAGCUGGAAUCGCUAGUAAUCGCAGAUCAGCCAAGCUGCGGUGAAUACGUUCCCGGGCCUU